AUACGUAGGGGGCGAGCGUUGUCCGGAAUGAUUGGGCGUAAAGGGCGCGUAGGCGGCCCGGUAAGUCUGGAGUGAAAGUCCUGUUUUUAAGAUGGGAAUUGCUUUGGAUACUGUCGGGCUUGAGUGCAGGAGAGGUAAGUGGAAUUCCCAGUGUAGCGGUGAAAUGCGUAGAGAUUGGGAGGAACACCAGUGGCGAAGGCGACUUACUGGACUGUAACUGACGCUGAGGCGCGAAAGUGUUGGGAGCAAACAGGAGUAGAUACCCUGGUAGUCCACACUGUAAACGAUGAAUGCUAGGUGUAGGGGGUAUCGACCCCUUCUGUGCCGCAGUCAACACAAUAAGCAUUCCGCCUGGGGAGUACGGCCGCAAGGUUGAAACUCAAAGGAAUUGACGGGG
rnacentral:rRNA from 1 species